UACGGAGGGUGCAAGCGUUAAUCGGAAUUACUGGGCGUAAAGGGUGCGUAGGCGGCCCGACAGGUGAGGUGUGAAAUCCCUCGGCUCAACCGAGGAACUGCGCUUCAAACCGUCAGGCUUGAGGGAGAUAGAGGUGAGCGGAACAGAUGGUGGAGCGGUGAAAUGCGUUGAUAUCAUCUGGAACACCGGUGGCGAAAGCGGCUCACUGGAUCUUUUCUGACGCUGAGGAACGAAAGCUAGGGUAGCGAACGGG
rnacentral:rRNA from 1 species